GCAGAAAAGUAUUUUAAAAUUAAGAUAUGUACUUUGUUUUAGACAAUUCUAUUGCACACUUAAUAGGCUGCAGUAUAGUGUAAGUAAAAUUUUCAGAUGCACUGGGGAAUCCAAAAAAAUUCAUGUGACUCAGUUUAUUGUGAUAUCUGCUUUAUCUCAAUGGUCUUCAAUGGAACCUACAAUAUCGUGGAGGUGUCCCCUUAUUAUUAUAUCCUGGCUUUCUCGAUGAGCAAAGUGAUGGCAGGAAGCUGAACAGACUCACCCAAAGUCACAUGGCUGAAGAGUAAGCUGAGGACAAGUGAGGCCUGAGGAGGACAAUGUGUAGAUGUUCCCUGUGUGUGGAGGGGUGCUCCGGACCUCACACAAUUCUUACAACAACCCUAGGAGAAUUCCAGGAGCAGAGAGAAGGCUGAUGACCAGGGAAGAAGGUGUCAGAGCUGACUCCAGUCCUGAGCUUCUACAAACCUGGGAGUGGUCUGUAUGUGGUAAAGAAUGCUUCUGGCUUAAGGGGAGGCACCCCAGGGAUAAGGGCAAAGCUUUCUUAGGUCCACUGGAUCAACCCUCAGUACUCUGCCACCCAAGAAAGACACAUGCAAGCAGCUCUAUAUAAGUCAGUCCAGGGACAGAAUUAUGUCCCCUCUGAAGAUGUCCACCUCAUAGUCCCUGGAUUCUGUAAAAAUGGAACCUUUCAUGGCCAAAGGGUCUUUGCAGAUGGGAAGAGUGUACUCAGUUAUCAAGUUGGACCCAAUGUCACCUCAAGGGUCCUUAUGAGAGAGAGGCGAGGGGCUCAGAGUCCGAGAGGAUGCAACAUGGAAGCAGAGAUGUGCUGUGGAGGCAGAGGAAGGGGCCAUCAACCAAGGGAAGCAGGAGAAGGCGAGGAGACGGGACCUCCUCAAAGCCUCCGGAGGAAGUGUGGCCUUGAUUCGGCCAGUUGGACCUCUGACCCAUUUUGGAGUUUGGCCUCCAGAACUGUAAAAUCAUAAAUUUGUGGUUUUCAAAGUACCAGACUUGUGGUGGCAGCAAUAGGGAACGAAUACAGGCUUUUUGAGGCCAUGGUCUGCUUAAAUACGAGGACGUGCGUGUGUGCAUGCUAAGUCACUUCAGUCGUGUCUGA